CCACGGAUGGCGCUGAAGUCAUCAUAAUAUUAAAUAAAUAUUAUUUAUCACUUUAUAAAAUAAGAAUAAAUAAUGGAAUAGUCAGUUUUGCAAUGACAUAACCUCAAAUAAAAAGUGCUCUGUCAAAGAAAAGGUACAUAAGUAAAGUCUGGUUGUCUUUGUCAUCAGAUGCAAAGUUAAAAUAUACUUUAGAGUGUUAGCUUAUAUAUUUACAAGUAAGAUGUUUAAAUAAAGAUAACAUUCUUGAAGACUGUAAACAAACGUGGGGUAUGCAAGAAGUGAUACAAACAGUAGGACCUUAUUUCAAUUUCAAAUUAAAAUCCAGUAAGAAGUACUAUAUGCACAUAUUGCGAAGCUUCAAUCUAAGGUGAAAAGGCUUAAGAAAAUGAUUGAAGAGAUUGUUUCCUUUAUAAGUGGUAUUAUUUCAAGUUCAUUUUGUUACAUAUAAUUAUAAUAUGUAAUUUAGUAUUGUGUAUUUUUAAUUAAACAUUAAAGUAGGAGACUUUGUAAUGCAAUUAAAGCUAUUGAAAGGAAAAGUAGUAAUAUAGACAGUACGAUUGAAUAACAUAGAACACCUCACAGAGAAUUCUGUUAUAUUUUUAUAUGAAUUAUUGUUUAAAUAAUGUAAUUGUAAAUCUAACAAAAGGAUUACAAAGAAAUAACAAUUAACUCAUUGUUAUUAUCACAUAUAAACUGUCCAUAAAAUACCCAAGUAUAUUAGAUCUCAUAUAAUGCAUAUU